AACGAACGCUGGCGGCAGGCCUAACACAUGCAAGUCGAGCGGACAUCUUCGGAUGUUAGCGGCGGACGGGUGAGUAACGCGUGGGAACGUGCCCUUUGCUUCGGAAUAGCCUCGGGAAACUGGGAGUAAUACCGGAUGUACCCUUUGGGGGAAAGAUUUAUCGGCAAAGGAUCGGCCCGCGUUGGAUUAGGUAGUUGGUGGGGUAAUGGCCUACCAAGCCGACGAUCCAUAGCUGGUUUGAGAGGAUGAUCAGCCACACUGGGACUGAGACGCGGCCCAGACUCCUACGGGAGGCAGCAGUGGGGAAUCUUAGACAAUGGGGGAAACCCUGAUCUAGCCAUGCCGCGUGAGCGAUGAAGGCCUUAGGGUUGUAAAGCUCUUUCACCGGGGAAGAUAAUGACGGUACCCGGAGAAGAAGCCCCGGCUAACUCCGUG
rnacentral:rRNA from 1 species